rnacentral:rRNA from 1 species
UGGGGAAUUUUGCGCAAUGGGCGAAAGCCUGACGCAGCAACGCCGCGUGAGUGAUGAAGGUUUUCGGAUCGUAAAGCUCUGUCAGAGGGGAAGAAACUCCCGGGAGAUAAUAUCGCCUGGGCCUGACGGUACCCUCAAAGGAAGCACCGGCUAACUCCGUGCCAGCAGCCGCGGUAAUACGGAGGGUGCAAGCGUUGUUCGGAAUUAUUGGGCGUAAAGCGCGUGUAGGCGGUUGGUUAAGUCUGAUGUGAAAGCCCUGGGCUCAACCCGGGAAGUGCAUUGGAAACUGGCUAACUUGAGUACGGGAGAGGGUAGUGGAAUUUCGAGUGUAGGGGUGAAAUCCGUAGAUAUUCGAAGGAACACCGGUGGCGAAGGCGGCUACCUGGACCGAUACUGACGC